CAACAUUCAGAGGCAACAAAGAGAUGAUCUUAUGUCUUAUCAAUUAACUUUCAUUCUCAUAUCACGAUUUCAUUGAGCAUGUUUAGAAUAGAGGAAGCAAGGAGAUGCUUGUCAUGUCCAACUGUUUAUCCUGUGAAGGUCUAUGAGUACUCUGUACGGCGAUCUGUGAGCCUGCCACUGCUGGUGGAUGGUGUACAAGAUUUGCAGUCACGCUACCAUGGAGCCCAGAGAUGCCUCUCUCCUGCUCUCUCCAUCUCAUCAUCAUUGGCCUCAUCUGAGGACUUUAUGACCGCAUGCAGUCGGCUGUCUGCAUGCUCUUCCCUCGCU